rnacentral:tRNA from 1 species
GAGAAGGUGGCUCAGUGGUAGAGUGCUUGCCUUGCAUGCAUGAGGCCCUGGGUUCAAUUCCUGGGCAUCACA